GAAGGCAGGCGGCGGCGUCCAGUGCUCAGCAGGUAGCUAGAGAGGCGGGCGACGGUAGCCGGCGUUGGUGGCACCAGCGGGCGUGCAACUCACGGCCGAUAAGACAGUCAGCGGCGGCCCAGUUAAUUCACAGCGGCGCAAGAAGGUACGAUCCCUAGCGGAGCAGCGACGACGGCGACCAAAAAAUAGGCAUCCCAAUCCUCGUCCCUCUCCUGGGCUAGCAGCCGUGUGGCGAGAACGGGAUAGCAGCAACAGCAUGCAUCAGCGGGAGGCAGGGCAUGCAACAUCAGCAAAUCUCCUGGGCUAGCAGCGACAUGACCUGAAGCAGAUAAUAAUAGCGUUAGAAUUUGAUGGUAGAUCUAUGUCCUCUUUAUUCAGAUUGGUGACAAAUUUCGUUGUCUCUUUUCAGAAAAUUUGUUGUGGUUAUAUGAUGAUGAAAAAUCAUUGUUGCUGAUAACUAUUUGUGCAUGUGAGUGAAUUAGAAG
rnacentral:lncRNA from 1 species